rnacentral:rRNA from 1 species
AGCAGCCGCGGUAAUUCCAGCUCCAAUAGCGUAUAUUAAAGUUGUUGCAGUUAAAAAGCUCGUAGUUGAAUUUCGGGAUCAAAUUGUUGGUCGUGCCUCGGUACGCACUGGUAUUAUUGGUUCCUACCUUCUGAAGAACCACGAUGUCAUUAAUUUGGUGUCGUGGGGAAUCAGGACUGUUACUUUGAAAAAUUAGAGUGUUUAAAGCAGGCUUACGCUUGAAUACAUUAGCAUGGAAUAAUGAAAUAGGACGUUUGAUUCUAUUUUGUUGGUUUCUAGGAUUGACGUAAUGAUUAAUGGGAUAGUUGGGGCAUUAGUAUUCAAUUGUCAGAGGUGAAAUUCUGGAUUUAUUGAAGACUAAC